rnacentral:rRNA from 1 species
UACGUAGGGGGCUAGCGUUGUCCGGAAUCAUUGGGCGUAAAGCGCGUGUAGGCGGUCCGGUAAGUCCGCUGUGAAAGUCGGGGGCUCAACCCUCGGAUGCCGGUGGAUACUGUCGGGCUUGAGUACGGAAGAGGCGAGUGGAAUUCCUGGUGUAGCGGUGAAAUGCGCAGAUAUCAGGAGGAACACCGGUGGCGAAGGCGGCGCUCUGGGCCGGUACUGACGCUGAGGAGCGAAAGCGUGGGGAGCGAACAGG